rfam:Penicillium roqueforti FM164 genomic scaffold, ProqFM164S03
UGAGGCCUCCGACGUGACACAACAUCCUGCAGCGGUGUUGUGUGACCUGCAGUGUCCGUCGCUGGCCUCG